GACUUGCACAUCUUCCUAGUGUUAACAUAUUCUGCAGAAACGAUGACUAGAUCUAAAGGAAUGUGGGUGUUCUCCCUCCUAGUUUUACUUGCUUUCUCCUCUUAUUCAUAUCAUGCACGAGGAGAUGAAUUGACCGAGGAAAAAAAUCUUGUGAUAGAGUAUUGCAAGAAGCACAUCAUAAAAUAUUUCGGUGACCCAUUUCCAAAACUCAGCAGCAAAUGCUGCGGAAUAGUAUGUUUAUUAAUAGACCUCCAUGCCAUUUGCGAGAAAUUCACUAUCAAGGAUCUGCUUUGGAUUGACCUAGAAAAGUGGGCUACUGUUACACAUGUGUGCGGCAACUCAUUACUUCCAGGGACUAUAUGUGCAGGUUAUGUUGUUCCUCGUUAUGGUCACGAGCCACCUCCAACUGAACACUCAGUGUAAGGCAGGCUCAGCGAAUAAAGGUGGGGACACUAUGAUAUUGAUGCUUUGCCAGGGUAUCUAUGUUAUAAUGUAUCUUAGUUUUUAUGCUAUGAAUAAAAAAAGGACGACCUGCAUGUUCUCUA